ACCCUCCAGGCCCAUCUCUCUGGCAUCUAAACACUGGGUGCUUUAAGGGAUCCAGAUCCUAGAGCACCAAGGGCCUCAGGAGGCCAGUGCUUGUCCCUGUGAGGUCCCUGUGCCAGCACACCCCGCUCAUCAGAGGCAAGAGAAUGGCCCUGAAACCCGGGCAGGGUGGGGCCCGCACGUGCAGAGCACACCACCUGCAGGAAGGCCAAUCCACAGCAGGGUACAAAGAGUGGCUGUCUCACUGGGCAAGGGUGUACUUGUCCUCUGUACCCAGAAGCCCUGCCACAAGAAGAGAUGCCUUCUCCAGGCUUGGGGAGGCACCUGGUGGGUGCCAUCCAGCCUGACCGCAGUCACCGCGCUGCCACCAGCAGGCUCUCCACCCUAAAUCAGUUCAGGGAUAGAAAUGCACCAACUCCCAGGGCCAUUUUCAGAAACAUGUGACAGUGAAGUGCCACCUUCUCUGAGCCAUCCCUCCCUGCCCAGUGAGCACUGAGCCAGCACUUCACAAGCUGGCAUUAGACCCAGUGACUCCGGUCUCGGUGGCGUCAAGCAUGCCCCUUCCCACUCAGAUGCCGUUUCGGGAAGCAGGAUGUACUCACUGGCUGACAUCGGCUGUGACGACUUAAGAAUCACAUGUGUCUAAUACAAAAGUCAUUCAGACUGUUAAACUGCUGUGUACACUUGUAUUGGCCAGUAUUUCCCAAACCACAUAGCUCUUUCCCAAAGCACCAGCUGGCAGCACUCCACACGUGUCAUAACCAACAAACACGUGUGGAACAGCUCCACUCUAGCCCUGGCAUAUGCCCCACAGUGAAAGUAGCUUUCAUUCUUAAUUAUGAGCAUCAGCCAUGACAAUACUGUAAACGCUGAUCCUCCACAGACUAAGUCACAUUUUAGAAUUAACUGUAUUUAACCACAAUUGACCCCUGACAGUUGUUUAUCCAUGUGUAUAAAUAUGAAGCGUGGCUGUGACUGUGCCACCCCCUCCACCCCCUCGAAGUCUAUUUCUCGUCCGCAGAUUCUCAUACGGCUCAUAAGGCUGCUCUGUGGAUUAUUUCAGCCUGAACGUAAGUCACUCAGCACGAGACUCACUCAGCCUACAGUAAGGAACUAGAUUAAUGCUUAUUUCUGUCACUUUUCUUAUCCCCAGUUAAUCAAACCAGAUGCUAUUAUUGAGGCUAAAUAACAAAUACAUUAGAGUCAAGAUUGACCUCCAGUUAAUGUCCACUUUCCAUUUAAUUAGUUAAAACAUUAACUGGUAUUUGACCUAUAUAUUUUUUGUUCAUUAGGAACUUAUAUAUGCAUCUGAUAUUGCUCAAAAUGUUUAGAUUUGAACCAACCACCCUGCAUCUGAAAUGUACCUAUCAGCAAAAGAUAAAAUGCUUACAUUUCAUAAAUAAGCAAAUUUCAGUAAGCAUACACCCUGAGGUAUUUAAUAAUUCUCUGACAAUGUAAAAUUGAACCAUCUUUUGACAUAUUACAUGCCUAUCAAGAAGAGCCCCCAGUUAAAUGAAUAAAUCACUAGGUUUAGAACACAUAAAUGUUAUUUAUCCCUAAUUCACCAGUGAUUAGCAAUGAUUUCUUUUUUAAGGUAGAAAAAGAAAAGCAUCAGGAUUUAAAGUAGGAAUGAAUAAAGGCCAUCGCAAAUCGGAAGAGCUCAUCACAUCCACGCCAGCUGCGUUCUCUGCCCACAGCCAUCUGUGCACCUGUGCUGCACAUACAUCGUCACACUGGCCGUGACUAUGUGUUUUCUGGGUGUGCUGAGAGCUUCUGGAAUUAAAGAACUGUGGAUUCAUCUUCAUAUCCUGGGCAGCUGACACCAUGCUUGGCACAUGACUCAGACAUCAGAGCCCUGAAGACAGUGUCUUCAAAGCAAACUAACUUACUCUGAUCCAACCCGUGUUAAUGCUGCGUCGCCCAGGGUGGCAGGCGACGGUGGCCGAGGGGCCAGCACUUAGUGUCUCACCACACGGGCAGCUCCACACACGAGGUCUCAGUCCCCACCUGGUAAAUCACCGUUGUCAUAGUCCUCAUUCACAGCGGACAUGGUGCCUGUGUCCCCAUCAGAGAAGGUGGGUCUCUGAGCCCCAACUCCCACACUCUCCACAUCAGUUCUAAUCAACAGACCUUAGAGAGUAAAGGAUGCUCUGUUCUGCUUCUUGCUGUUUUAUUUCAGAGGCAAAUGGUUAAAAGUCUUACUAUCAUUAAAAUUAUAUCUGCUA